CCUACGGGAGGCAGCAGUAGGGAAUUUUCGUCAAUGGGCGCAAGCCUGAACGAGCGAUGCCGCGUGAGUGAAGAAGGCCUUCGGGUCGUAAAGCUCUGUUGCGGGGGAAAAAAGGCAGCAUCAGGAAAUGGGUGCUGACUGAUGGUGCCCCGCCAGAAAGUCACGGCUAACUACGUGCCAGCAGCCGCGGUAAUACGGAGGUGGCGAGCGGUCAUCGGAAUGAUUGGGCGGAAGGGGUACGCAGGCGGUCCUUCAAGUCACGAGUGAAACGCAUGAGCUCAAAUCAGGCAUGGCUUUGGAAACUGGAGGACUGGAGAGCGGGAGAGGGCGGUGGAACUCCAUGUGUAGCGGUAAAAUGCGUAGAUAUAUGGAAGAACACCAGUGGCGAAGGCGGCCGCCUGGCCUGUUGCUGACGCUGAGGCACGAAAGCGUGGGGAGCAAAUAGGAUUAGAUACCCCGGUAGUC
rnacentral:rRNA from 1 species